UACGUAGGGGGCAAGCGUUGUCCGGAUUUAUUGGGCGUAAAGAGCGUGUAGGCGGCCAUACAGGUCCGUUGUGAAAACUGGAGGCUUAACCUCCAGACGUCGAUGGAAACCGUAUGGCUAGAGUCCGGAAGAGGAGAGUGGAAUUCCUGGUGUAGCGGUGAAAUGCGCAGAUAUCAGGAAGAACACCCGUGGCGAAGGCGGCUCUCUGGGACGGUACUGACGCUGAGGCUCGAAAGCAUGGGGAGCAAACAGG
rnacentral:rRNA from 1 species